GCCUUCGUGGUGUAGUGGUCCGCAGGCUCGGCGCGUAAACGAGAGGUCUGUGGUUCGAUUCCCGGCCAAGGCG
rnacentral:tRNA from 1 species